rnacentral:rRNA from 1 species
AGUGAACGCUGGCGGUAGGCCUAACACAUGCAAGUCGAGCGGCAGCACAGUGCUAGCUUGCUCUUACGGCUGGCGAGUGGCGGAUGGGUGCUGGAUACAUCGGAAUCUACUUUUUCUUGGGGGCUAACGCAGGGGCUCUUACGCUAUUACUCCAUACGACCUACGUGUGAGAUCAUCGGAUCUUCGGCCCUUGCACGAUCGUAUGAGCCGAGGUCGGAUUAGCUAGUUGGCGGGGUAAAGGCCCACCAAGGCGACGAUCCGUAGCUGGUCUGAGAGGAUGAUCAGGCACACUGGAACUGAGACACGGUCCAGACUCCUACGGGAGGCAGCAGUGGGGAAUAUUGGACAAUGGGCGAAAGCCUGAUCCAGCCAUGCCGCGUGGGUGAAGAAGGUCUUCGGAUUGUAAAGCACUUUUGGUGGGAAGGAAAAGCAGUAAGUUAAUACCUUGCUGUUUUGACGGUACCAAAAGAAUAAGCACCGGCUAACUUCGUG